GCGGAAGUGGCGGAACUGGCAGACGCGCCAGACUAAGGAUCUGGUGGGGUAAAACCCGUGGAGGUUCGAGUCCUCUCUUCCGCA
rnacentral:tRNA from 1 species